CGCAGAGUUCGGACUGAUCGGACUGCUAAAAGUUAAAACACAUUCUAAGCCUACGUUUUACAUUAAGAUUUGGUGUAUUUUGGGUUGCGGCGAUUACAUUCCGUUAUACAUCACACAACACGAGUCACACAGCAGCAUAACCAACAAAAAUCAUUCAGUGACUAAACAUUUGUGCAGAAUUUACGCUUGUAAUUUAAACCAUUACUAAUACAAAGGUUAACUUCCUACUGGUUUUGUAUAUUUACGAGAGUAAUAAUUAAACCAAUUUGCCGUCGGAUGCGCCACGCCGCCAAACAACAAAGUGUCGGAAUAAUAAACCAGCGAAAUUCUUGCGAUGCUUGCGAUUCCGCACGGUUGUUAAUUGCGGCGAGUGCUUAACUGAUCAUCUCCAUGCGGAUUGCAGCAGGCAACCAGCCGAGCACGAAGCACCACCGCAUUGUUAUACCUUGUAUUCUCUGUACGAUAUUUGCACUAGCAGCGCGAGGAGCUACACACGUAGGUAAUUAUUAUGUUCCUUAUUGUUACAAUUGGUUUUGUUCAUGGCAAGAAGCGUGCCGAAUCGAAAGUGUCAAUUACCUCGCUACUCGCACUUAAAGCGCAAGAAGAAUUUUAAGAAGAACAUAGAAUUUUUUAAAUUAAACAUAACAUAUUAUAUAUAAGAAAUAAAGUGUUUUUAAACACAUGAAAGCGUAAAAAAUGGGAAUUUUCUGAAUAAUAAAAUGGGUAAACACAUGUGCAGUGUCAUAAACACGAUCGUUUAAAAAUAAACGAGGUUAUUGUUCAAUUGAAGCUGUUUAAACAACGCAGGACGUCAUUUUCUAGGAGCGACAUGCUUUUACCAGAUUAUUUUAUUGAAGAGGAAGUUGUAAAUACAGAAAUAUAGUCUUAGGGAACAAUUAGCUACUUAUAAUUAACUUAGAAGUUUAAAAAGCAUAGUAGUUGUAGAGUUAUUAAAUUAUAUUUACACGCUUUCGAUUUUUAAGGGCAUUGUGAAGCAAAUAAUUGAAGUAAAUGGCUGCGGAGUACUCCUACCAGUUUUUGCGGGUUGUGCGCAAGUAUA